UACGUAGGGGGCAAGCGUUGUCCGGAUUUAUUGGGCGUAAAGAGCGUGUAGGCGCCACACAGGUCUGCUGUGAAAACUCGAGGCUCAACCUCGAGCUGUCGGUGGAAACCGUGUGGCUAGAGUCCGGAAGAGGAGAGUGGAAUUCCCGGUGUAGCGGUGAAAUGCGCAGAUAUCGGGAAGAACACCCGUGGCGAAGGCGGCUCUCUGGGACGGUACUGACGCUGAGACGCGAAAGCGUGGGGAGCGAACAGG
rnacentral:rRNA from 1 species